GGAGUUUGGACCGUCUCUCAGUUCCAAUGUGGCCGGUCAUCCUCUCAGAUCGGCUACCGAUCGUCGACUUGGUGGGCCGUUACCUCACCAACUAUCUAAUCGGACGCGAACUCACCCCAAACCGGAUUGCUCCUUUUACCCCUGCUCCAUGCGAAGCUGUGGUCUUAUGCGGUAUUAGCACCUGUUUCCAAGUGUUAUCCCCCUGUCUGGGACAGAUUGUUCACGCGUUACUCACCCGUCCGCCACUCGAAUAUCAGAAAUUCCUGCCGAAGCUCUCAUCCCCGAUAUCCCCGUUCGACUUGCAUGUGUUAAGCACGCCGCCAGCGUCGUCCUCGAGCACUGAUCAACUACU
rnacentral:rRNA from 1 species